rnacentral:miRNA from 1 species
GCUCGGAGCUUCCGUCAGAUUUCAGCCAUUUUCUUGGGAAAAGCAAUAGUUACCUAUUGCUUUUCCAAAAAAAAUGGCUGAAAAUCUGACGGAAGUAAAUUAUU